UACGUAGGGCGCAAGCGUUAUCCGGAAUUAUUGGGCGUAAAGAGCUCGUAGGCGGUUUGUCGCGUCUGCCGUGAAAGUCCGGGGCUCAACUCCGGAUCUGCGGUGGGUACGGGCAGACUAGAGUGAUGUAGGGGAGACUGGAAUUCCUGGUGUAGCGGUGAAAUGCGCAGAUAUCAGGAGGAACACCGGUGGCGAAGGCGGGUCUCUGGGCCGAUACUGACACUGAGGAGCGAAAGCGUGGGGAGCAAACAGG
rnacentral:rRNA from 1 species